GAUCUGGCUCAGGAUGAACGCUGGCGGCGUGCUUAACACAUGCAAGUCGAACGAAGCGCUUAAGAUUGAUUCUUCGGAUGAUUUCUUUUGUGACUUAGUGGCGGACGGGUGAGUAACGCGUGGGUAACCUGCCUCACACAGGGGGAUAACAGUUAGAAAUGACUGCUAAUACCGCAUAACCCGAUAGGAUCGCAUGAUCCAGACGGAAAAGAUUUAUCGGUGUGAGAUGGACCCGCG
rnacentral:rRNA from 1 species